CCUAUACAUGCCAUAGUUCAAACAUAGUUCAUCAUAAAAUACCGAGUCAUUAUGGUUGAUAGUGUGGACGAUCUUCGACGUCUUAAGGAUCCUCGAAUUUGAUUAAUAUAUAAAAAGAAAAUAAACAAAGUAAGCAUAAUGCUUAGUAAGUUUACAAGUAACUAAAUAGCAAUAUUAAAUGCAAAUAAUAAUAACCAAGUAACAUAAUCUUUAAUUUCCUCUUUACUUUAUCUCUUACUCAUUCACUUACUUGUUUACUUAGACAACUCAUAAUUAGGACUUACUUUUCUCUUGCUGAAAUGUUGAUUCUCAAUGGGUAACGUAAUAUACUCUUAACUCUUAUAACUCACUUUAACUUGCCAUUUAUACUUUUAACUAAACUUUCAUGGAUAUAAGUUAUUUACUAGCCCGUUGAACUACAUUGAAAUAAUAAGGAUACUUAGGUCUCUUUCUGAUAAUAACAUGCCAAAGUCAUGUCCCAGACAUAGUCUUACAUGGGAUGUUUCAUGUACUACCAGUGCCAUAUCCCAUAUAUGGUCUUACAUGGGAGUUCUCAUAUCGGUGCCAAUGCCAUGUCCCAGACAUGGUCUUACGGGGGACCUCUCAUCUCGGUGCCAAUGCCAUGUCCCAGACAUGGUCUUACAUGGGACCUCUCAUCUCGGUGCCAACGCCAUGUCCCAGACAUGGUCUUACAUGAGACCUCUCAUGAUCUCAAUGAUGCCAAUGCCAUGUCCCAAACAUGGUCUUACAUGGGAUCUCUUUACCUAUAUGUCAUGACAUUUGUAUCCAAUACACUCCUAAUUUUUCAACGGGGCUUUUAUAAAUACAUAAUUGCUGAAAAAUAAUUUCAUGUAAUAAAUACAUAAUUGUUGGAAAAUAGCAGCAUUAAUAAUAAUUAUUGAAAUAUUGCAUUUAUUUACCGUAAACUUACCUCGGUAGCAAAUAUAGCCAAACUUAUCAAUUUAGUCUUCAACUUUAUUCUUUCCUCGAUCUAACCUCGAAUUCCGUUCUUCUUGAUCUAUAAUAGUAAAUUUAACUUAUUUAAUACUCACAUUCAUUAAAACAGCCCUCAACUCUAACUUUGGAAAAAUUACAAUUUUACCCCUAAACCUUUACAUAAUUACGCUUUUGCCCCAAAUCUCGAAAAUUAAACUUCAUCUCAUAUUCUUAUGUUAUAUAACAUGCUGAACAUUUUUAUCUUCUAUGACAACAUCAAAUUCUCACUCUAACACUUAUGCACAUUAGGGAUUUUUACCGAUUUUGUCAACUUACUCGUUUUCGCUUAAAAUAGACUAGCAAAAGUUGUUUAACAUAAUUUCUAGCUGCACAUUAUGUCAUAAAACAUCAAAAUAAACACUUUUCACAUAUAGGUAUUUUUCCAAAUAUUAACCCUAGGUUAAAUUAUUGCUAGAAUAAGCUAAAUUAAACUACCGGGAUCUCGAAAACAUAAAAAGCAUUAAAAACGGGGCUUAAAAUCACUUACUAUGAGCUUGAAAAAGUGUGAAAACCCUAGCUAUAGUCUUUCCAAAUUCGACAACAAGCUAUGGUGAAGAUGAUAUUUUUUCCAUAUUUUUCCCUUUUUAUUAUUCAUUUACUAAAAUACCCUUCACUAAAACUUUAGUUAUUUUUAUCUAUGCAUGCCUAUUUUUGUCCAUGGAAAUUUUAUGGUCUAAUUACUAUUUAAGAAUCUCUACUUUGAUUAUGCACUUCAAAUAAAUCCUUUAUCAUCUAAAACUCAUAUUUACCCACUUUUGCAAUUAAGUCCUAAUAAGCAAUUUAGGCAUGCAAUCAAUAAAAUUUCUUAUCAAUACUCUAAUACUUUUAUCUAAUCACUCAAUAAAUCAUAAAAAUUAAUAAUAAUUUUCUCUUUAAAUCGAAUUUGUGGUUAUGAAACCACUAUUUCGAUAACCUUAAAUUUAGGCCAUUACAUGAAGGGUCUAAUCUAUACCGUCUCAACAUUGAUACAUGAAACACAUUAUGGAUCUUCUUAAGUUUCGGAAGCAAAGUCAAUCUAUAAGCUACUGGACCAAUUCUUUCUAUGUCUUCAUACGGCCCGAUAAAUCGUGGACUAAGUUUUCCCUUUCUACCAAACCGUAAAACUUUCUUCCACGGAGAAACUUUCAAGAACACACGAUCACCCACAUUGAAUUCUAUAUCUCUUCUCUUCAAAUCUGCGUACGACUUCUGACGAUCGGAAGCAACUUUCAAACUAUCUCGAAUAAUCUUGACUUUCUCUUCAGUUUCCCGAAUCAAUUCCACUCCCACUAACUUCGAUUCACUUAAUUCAUACCAAUACAAUAGGGUUUUACAUUUCCUUCCAUAAAAAGCUUCAAACGGUGCCAUCUUGAUACUAGUUUGGUAGCUAUUAUUAUAAGCAAAUUCAGCUAAAGGUAAAUACCUUUCCCAGCUACCACCAAACUCAAGUAUACAACACCUCAACAUAUCUUCUAAAAUUUGAAUCACUAGCUCAGAUUGCCCGUCGGUCUGAGGAUGAAAAGCUGUACUAAAUUUGAACUUAGUACCUAAAGCUUCCUAUAAUUUACUCCAAAAUCUCGAGGCAAACCUUGGAUCUCGAUCAGAAAUAAUGGACGUCGACACUCCAUGUAAUUUCAUAAUUUCUAACACCUAUACUUUCGCUAACUUUUCAAGCGAAAAAUCUGUUCUGACCGGAAUAAAAUGUGUUGACUUAGUCAAUUUGUCUACUAUCACCCAAAUUGAAUCUUUCUUUUUCGGAGUAAUAGGUAAUCAAGAUACAAAAUCCAUCAUGACAUGCUCCCAAUUCCACUCAGUAAUCAUUACGGGUUGUAACAAACCUGUGGGCACUUGGUGUUUUGCUUUUACCUAUUGACAAAUCAAACACUUUGCAACGAAUUCACAUAUUUCUCGCUUUAUACCAGGCCACCAAUAAGUUCCUUUCAAAUCACAAUACAUUUUCGUACUGCCCGUGUGACAACCCUAAUUAGACCCUGGUCGGAAUGUGGUUUUGAGACCACAUUACCGAGCCAAAAAUUUAUUUUUGUGUUUUAAUUACAUAAAUUUUUGUGUGACAGUGAAUAUAUGAGAAAUUAAAUGCUUAAUAUUAGCUUUAGGAAUGUGAAUUAAUUCGAAAAAGACCUAGUUGACGAAGUUAGAAAAGAUGAUAGAUGAAUUAUAAGGAGUAAUUAAUAAUAGGGAGAGGAAGCAUGGCUUUGCAAGUCAAAUUACCCAUAAAAUACAUGGUGGCCGGCCAAUGAGUGAUGAUGCUCCACUCAUUCUAAUUUAAUAUGUUUUUUUUAGUUAACAAAUGAUGGGAAUAAUAAUAGGAAAGUGAACAAAAAAAAGGGGGUGUUCAUACUUGCCAUCUCCUAGCCGAAAAACCAAGAAAAAGAAAGGGAGAAAAAUUUUGAAGAAGUUCGGCCAUUGCUUGUAUCUAGGAGGAGUGUUUGAUGUUGUGGCAUGAAAAUGAGAGAGUUUGAAUGCUUAAUAAGGAGGGAAGAAGGAGUGUUCAUGUUUUCUUUCUUUUGCAAUUGUCGUAACUAGAGGAAGAAGAGGAAGCAAGAUUCGGCCAAGGUGGUCCUUUAGAUCAAGGUAUGUUCAAUGAUAUUUUUGGAAGUUUACACAACCUUUGGGUGAUGAGUCUAAAUUCUAUCUACCCCAUGGUUGGAUUUGGGGUUGUCGGAGAGUUAGGCUUUGACUAAGAAGCUUAAAAAUUUUAGUUGAUACCUUGAUGCUAUUAACAUGUUAGUUAUAUGUAUGUGUUAAAUUGCUUGUUAUGUUAGCAUGAAAGUUGAAGUUGUUAAGUCACUUUGUUGGAGGUGCCGAAUUUAGGACUAAGAAGAGAAUGAGUAUUCGGCUAACAUGGUUGAAAGGUGGAUGUGCCAAUUUUUAGAUUUAGACUAUGAGAAUGGCUAUAAUGGGCAUUAAGAUGUGGAACUUAAGAAAUGUAGUUAUAUGUGGAUUUACAUGAUGUUACAAAUAGAUGUGAAAAUAUGCUAGAUUAGGAAAAUUCGAUCAAGUGUUCAUGAGAUGAAAUUAGAUGUUUAAAUGAUGUUAUAGUUGACAUUGUACAUACAUUCGGCCAUCUAAUUGAGUAUGAAGGUAGUGUUAAAUCUAAUUGUGAUGCCCAUUCGGAAGUGUAUAUAUAUAUACAUAAGUAUGCCCAUUCGUGAGGUUACCUUUGAUUAUGUGUAUAAUCGACUAAAUGGGUAAUUAGUGAGGAUGGUUGCCGAAUAUACUAACAAACAUAUGCAUGUGUAAUUGGAUUAUAAAUAUUUAGCAAGGUGGUUAAACUAGUUGAUUUAUUGAUUAAGCUCAAGGAGUUAAAGGAGGAGAAUCAAGCAAAGGCAAAGAAAAGAUCAUCGAGUAGCCGAGUUGGAACCGUUUUACCCAACACAAGGUAAGUCAUUAAGCAUAUAUUUUGUAUUAAUUUAAAUGGUCAUAACGUCUAUGUAAUGAUGCUGAAUUGAAUGAUAAAUAUAUAUAUAUAUACAUGUAUGCAUGGGGUGAUGAAAGUAUUGAAUGAAAAAGAAAAGAGGUGAGAUGUAUUGAGUUGUUGGUUUCGGCACUAAGUGUGCGGGUGUAAACAUUUAUGAUCAUGAGAUUGGCACUAAGUGUGCGGGUUCAAAUUGUAUAGCACUAAGUGUGCGAGUUUGAUUAUAUAGCACUAAGUGUGCGAGUUCGACUAUUAAGCACUAAGUGUGCGGGCUUAUUAUACAUUCUCUAAUAAAUAUACAUGCUCUAAGUGUGCGGCCUUAUCGAGUCAAUCAUGGACAGCGGUACGAGUAAACACCUUGAGCUCAUGAGGAAUAGACAUUUUAUUUAUAUUUGGGAUUGAGCUUGGUAAGUCUUGAACCUAUGUGGUGAUUAUACUUGAAGAUAAAUGCAUCCAAUGUCAUAUGGUGUAAUGUAUGAAAUGUCAAAGUAGGGCUUGGUAUGAGAUCGAACCGAAAUGCCUAAGGAAUUAUAGCACUGUUUGGGUAUGGAUGGAGGAUUUUAAUCCCGCAUUAUUUAUUUUCUCUUAUGAUAUAUUAUUACUGAAUGGCAAUGUAAUGCUUUAUGACUUACUGAGUUAUAUACUCACUCGGUGUUUGCUUGUCACCUACUUUAGGUUUCUUGGACUCGUCUUUUUGCGUGCUCGGGACUGUCAUCGAAGUCAUCACACCGGCUAGCAACUUUUGGUAUCUUCUUUUUAGUCGGUCUAGGAGAACAUUUCGGCAUGUAUAGGCUAAUAUGUUUUGUUGAAAUUUGGUAUGUAAACUUUUAGCCAUGCGAAAAUGGCAUAAAUGUUCGAUUGGAUUUGGUUCUAUAAUGUUAGGUCGCAAGUCUUGGAAAUUCGAUUUUUAUGCCAUAUGUCAUGGUUGAUUAUUUUUGGUGUUAAAAUUCAUGAUAUGGCAAUAGUGUAGUAGGGAGAUGUUUGACAAUGAUUAGCCUUUGGCAUGGCUAGUCAUGAUCAUAAUUUGUGAUAUGUAUGAUGAAUUACUAGUUAGAUCAAGGAGAAAUCACGAGAUAGGCAUAGUUGCUUUAGUAAUAGAUGCUGGCAGCAGCAGUGACGGGAGAUUCAAAAAUCACUAAAAAUAGUAGGAAUGGAAUUAAUUAAUGAAUAAAUUAUGUAAUCGAAGGUCGAUGAGUCUAUUUUCAUAUAGAAGAAACGAAAUGACCAUAUGAGCUGUAUGUUAGGAGAUAAUUAAACUCUUGUGAAACAGGGCCAGAGCGAUUUCCGGAUCCCCUGUCCCGACUUUAGAAAUUCACCCUAAAUUAAUCAGAGACAAUUAGAAGUCAUGCUUUAUAUGUAUAGAUUCCAUUUUGAGUAUAGUUUCAUUAGAAACCAACGGAAUAAUUAUUGGAGCUCUGUAAAGGUAGAUAUCUAAGUCGUAAUGCACAAGGGUCAGAGUAGUCGAACCCAGGAACAGGGACGACUUUAACCAAUAAACUGUACCAAUUGGCCCAGCCAAAAAUUCUACAAAAAUUCUACCAUAUAGAUAUAUGAGUCUAGUUCCGGGGAAAAUUUAUGGAACUAGAUUUUGAGUUUCAGAACUCAAGAUAUGAUUUUUAAUGCGACUCGUACGCAGAUUGGCAGCUUGUCUGGGAAAUUUCUAAUAAGUGGUUUGAAGUCUGUUAACACCUCGUGUUCGACUCCGGCGACGGUCUCGGGUUUGGGGUGUUACAGCCCGGGUGAAUAGAAUACAUGCUGUUAUGGGCUUCAGAAAGAAUAUCAUUCUUCAAAUCUGAAUUAUUCGGAACACAAAUUCUAUUGCGAUAAUACAACAUGCUUCCAUCAUCAAUACUAUAUUCUGAACUCAUUUUGUCUCGAACCAUCUGUUUCUUCAGCACUAAUUUUGGAUCAUUUUUUUGCAACUCUCGAACCCGCUGAAAGAAUACAUGUUUCACUUUCAGCUUUGCUUACACAGAACCAUCUUCAUUAAUAGAUAAAUGAGUAUUUAUAGUUCAAAGUGAAAACAAAAACGACUUUCGACUGAGUGUAUCUGCCACCACAUUAGCUUCCCCGGGUAGUAAUCAAUAACAAGAUCAUAACCUUUUAACAACUCGAACCAUUGUCUUUGUCUCAAAUUCAACUCCUUCUAAGUCAUUAAAUAUUUCAGACUUUUAUGAUUUUAUACACAUAGCAUUUCUCACCGUAUAAUUAGUGCCUCCAAAUUUUCAAAGCAAAUACAAUUGCAGCCAAUUCAAGGUCAUGUGUAGGAUAAUUAUUCUCAUGCGGUUUUAGCUGUCGAGAAGCAUAGGCCACUACUUUUCCCGACUGCAACAGUACACAACCCAAUCCAUUUAAAGACGCAUCACUAUAAACAACAUACGGUACACCCGAUUCUGGUUGAGUUAAGACUGGAGCUUCUGUUAGCAUUUUCUUCAAUUGAUCAAAACUCUGUUCACAUUCAUCAGACCAAACAAAUUCAACAUUCUUCUGUAGUAAUCAGGUCAUCGGUGAGGCAAUCAUUGAAAAGUCUUUCACAAAUUGGCGGUAAUAACCAGCUAAUCCCAAGAAACUUCGUACUUCUGUUAUGUUCUUUGAAAAUUUUCAAUUCACCACUGCAGUCACUUUACUUAGACCUACCCGAAUCCCUUCAGCUGACACAAUAUGACCCAAAAAUCUGACCUCAUGUAGCCAAAAUUCACACUUGCUAAAUUUUGCAUAUAACUGCUUCUCUUAAGGUCUGUAACACAAUUUUCAAAUGUUGAGCAUGCUCAGAUUCUUCUUUGAAUAAAUCAGUCUAUCAUCAAUAAAUACAACCAUGAAUCUAUCCAAAUAAGGUUGAAAAAUUUGAUUCAUCAGAUCCAUAAAAGCUGCAGGAGCAUUUGUCAACCCAAAUGGCAUAACCAAAAAUUCGUAACGACCAUACCGGGUUCUGAAAGUAGUUUUUGGCACAUCGUAUCCUUUAACUUUUAAUUAAUAAUACCCAAAUCUAAGGUCUAUCUUUGAAAACACUGCAGCACCUUUCAGUUGAUCAAACAAAUCAUCUAUACGAGGCAAUGAAUAUUUAUUCUUGAUUGUAACCUUGUUCAACUGUCUGUAAUCUAUACACAAUCUUAAUGAGCCAUCUUUCUUUUUUACGAACAAUACAGGUGCACCCCAAGGAGACGUACUUGGUCUAAUAAACCCUUUGUCUAAUAAUUCUUACAACUGAGUUUUCAACUCUUUUAAUUCUGCUGGUGCCAUUCUAUACGGUGUUAUGGAUAUCGGAGCUGUUCCUAGAAUUACAUCAAUCACAAACUCAACUUCACGAUCUAGCAGUAAACCCGACAAUUCCUCAAGAAACACAUCAACAAAUUCAUUGACAACUGACAGCUGUUCUAACUUUGAUCCAAAACCCCGGGUAUUAAGAAUAUAAGCUAAAUAUGUUUCAUUACCUUUCUAUACCAUUUUUUGAACUGAAAAGGCUAAAAUAAUUCUGACAUCAUCUUUUAUAUUUUCAAACUCAGUUGAAAUUACUUCUCCUGCCUGGUUUUUCAAAUCAAUUCAUUUCUCUCGAUAGUUCACUACAACAUCAUGUUUUGUUAACCAAUCUGUUCCCAAAAUAGCAUCAAAUUCCCGAAAAGGUAACAUCAAAUCAGCAAGAAAUUCACAGCCUUAUAUUUUUAGUGGACAAUUUCGACAUAUUAAAUUAACUAGUACACUUUGUCCUAAUGGAUUUGUGACUUGCACGUCAUAAUCAGUAGAUUCAACAGAUAAUUUAUUCUCUGAUGCUAAUGCAGUGCAAACAUAAGAAUGUAUAGAUCCAGGAUCAAUUAAUGCAUACACAGAAUCAUCAAAAAGAUAGAAAGUACUAGCUAUCACAUCUGAAGUUGCAGCCUAUUCCCUUGCUCGAAUGGCAUAUGUAUGUGCAGGUGCUCGAGCUUUUGAUCGAAUAGUAGAAUCUCUUAUUCCCGAGUGACUAGUUCCCGCUGCACCACUUUGACCCGAACGUUUGCCUUUCUAACAGGUAACUGUUUGUGUUUCUUUUUGUUCUUCCUUUGGCAGUUUAGGGCAAUUUCGAAUAAAAUGAUCGGUACCCCCACACCUAUAACAAGCUCCUAUUCUACCCUAACAUUCACCAAUAUGAAACCUCCCACAAUUUUUACAUAUAGGCUUGGAAAAAUUCUGUACACUGCUAAGACUAGCCGUAGGUUAAAUAGUUACUCCAACAUUUCGUUGAGUUGUCUUACUUUUAUUCAAUCUUUCUGAAGUUGAAGUAGGUUGGCUAGAAUCAUCUAUGAACUUUUUAGCUGAAACUGUCGAUAUUGAUCUAGAAUAACUCCUCUUGAAAGAUUCUUUAUUCCGACUCUCUCUUUGCUUCUUUCUGUUAUAUACUUAUUCCACCUUCUGGGCUCGAUCUGACAGAGUAACAAAUUCUCAAAUUUCUGUGCCUCCAAUUAUCAUUCUAAUAUCAUUAUUUAACCAUUCCUCAAAUCUAAUACACAUUUCUUCUUCAAUCGACACAAUAUCUCGAGCAUAUUUACUGAUAUAUACAAAUUCUUUUUCAUAUUUAACCACCGUUCGAUUUUCUUGUCACAAGUCAAGAAAUUCCCUCUUCUUCUUGUCCAGAUAUCUCUUACCGACAUAUUUCUUUUUGAACUCACCCUGGAAAAAUUCCCAAGUAAGCUUCUCUUCAGAUGCUACUGCUUCCAUAGUUUCCCACCAAUUAUAUUGUAACACCCCGAACCCGAAACCGUCACCGGAGUCGAACACGAGGUGUUAACAGACUUUGAACCACUUAUAAAAAAAUUUCCCAGACACUGCCAAUCUGCGUACUAGUUGCUUUAAAAAUCAUAUCUUGAGUUCAGAAACUCGGAAUCCAGUUCCGUAAAUUUUCCCUAAAACUAGACUCAUAUGCCCAUCUACGUAUUUUUUCUAGAAUUUUUGGUUGGGCCAAUUAGUACAGUUUAUUAGUCAAAGUCUCCCAUGUUACAGGGAUCAACUACACUGACCUUUGCGCAUUACGACUUGGAUAUCUCCCUGUACAGGGCUUCAAUACUGAUUUCGUUUGUUUCUAUAGAAACUAGACUCAAAGAGGAAUCUAUACAUAUAUGGCAUGACUCCUAAUUAUCUCUGGUUAAUUUAUAAUGAAUUUCCAAAGUCGAAACAGGGAAUCCAGAAACCGUUCUGGCCCUGUAUUACGAGAACCUGAAUAUCUCUUAACAUACUGCCCAUAUGAUCGUUUCAUUACUUUCCUAUGAAAAUAGAUUCAUCAAGGUUCGUUUACAUAAUUUAUUCACUAUUUAAUUCCAUUCCUACUAUUUUUAGUGAUUUUCCAAAUCUACAUCACUGCUGCUGUCAGCAUCUGCCUUUAAGGUAGACUUUACCUAUUUCAUAGUUUCCAUGAUUCAACUAGCCCUUUUAGCAUAAAUAGCACAAAUUAUGAUAGUGAUUAACCAUUCCCAUGGCCAAUCCUUGUUAAGCAUAUCCACACCAAAUGAUGAUAACAUUAUGCUCAAACAUAUAUAAGCCAUUUUCGCAUGGCUAUCCAAAAUUAUACAAGUCCAAAGGGUCCAUGACCCACAACAAAUGGGUAGUCCUAUACAUGCCAUUUCGAAGUUCAACCAAAUUUGCACCAAAAGGGGGGGGGCUUUGAUAGUGUGGGCGACUUCGACUUCAAAAUCCCGAGUCCGAUAGCUGGAGAACCAAAAUCUAUAAAACAGAGAAUCAAGGAGACGGAGUAAGCAAUUUAUGCUUAGUAAGUUUUGAGCAAGGGAUUCCAGCACAACAAAAGUAUAGCAUUCAUGUAGCUAAACGGAUAAUUUCAUAUGCACAAUUUUUCAAUAUCAUACUUCACAUUACCAACCCUUUUAUUCAUACACAAAGAUCAACUUAGCCAAAGGCCGGUAGCUCAUUUAUCCACUGAGCGAAUACUUAUUUGUAAGGGCUCAACUAAUUCAAAGCACAUACGAAACAUACCUCAAUGUUGGGAUGUUUCAAGCGUAUUAACUGAAAUUUUUACAGCAAGAUCAUUCAUUCCCAAAUCACGUACCUUCGGAAUUUAACCGGAUAUAGCUACUCGUUCAAAUGCCUUCGGGACAUAGCCCGGUUAUAGUAACUCGCACAAAUGCCUUCGGGACUUAACCCGGAUUUAGUAACUCGCACAAAUGCCUUCAGGCUUAGCCCGGAAUUAGUAUCUCGCACAAAUGCCUUCGGAUCUUAGUCCGGAUUUAGUAUCUCACACAAAUGCCUUCGGAUCUUAGUCCGGAUAUGGUCACUUAGCACAAAGCCUUCGGGACUUAGCCCGGGCAUCAUUCAAAUAACCAUGCACAUUUAACAAUAAAUCAUGGCACAUUCGUAUUUCAUUUUCGUUAGCAAAACUCAAACACAAGACUCUUAUCAUUCUUGCAAUUUCGGCUCAAUAGCCACACACAAAGAGCAUGAUUUUAAUUUGCUUAAAACAUGAUCUAAUCAAAUCAUAAUUUAAGCUCUUUUACUCAAGAACUUACCUCGGAUGUUGUCGAACAAUUCCGAUAGCUAUUCGACCACUUUUUCCUUCCCUUUAUCGGAUUUAGUUCCCCUUUGCUCUUGAGCUUAAUUAAACAAAUAAAUUGAUUUAAUCAUUUGAGCAUCGAAAAGAGGAACACAAGGCACUUAGCCCAUAUUUAUACAUUAGACAUUAAAGUCACAUAUGUACGGAAAUCAUGAAUCAAACUCAACAUUUUAGCUAAUUUUCCCCCUUGGCCGAAUUUUCUAAGCCAAGACAAAAGCAUCAAUAUGCUUGCCUCUAACCGAAUACAUGCAACACCAAUCUCCUUCCUAUGGCCGAAUAUGCAUGUCUAUGUUGGGGCCGAUUGCAACACUUAAUACAUUCUACAAGUAUGGUCACUUGUAUUGACUAAACACCAUUUUGUUUCAAGUUCAAAACUUGGCUAAUACACACAUAUAUACACUAGUAAAGCAUCCUCUCCAUUUCCAUCAAUUUAACACAUGCAUUACUCAUUAAUAUACAAAAAUUAUAUUCGGCCUUAGCACACAACUUGCUAGCCGAUUCUUCUCCAUCUAGCAACCAAUGCACAUAUGUGCUCACUCAAAAAUGCUAAAAAGAAGAUUCAAGAAUCAUCAAUCCACCAUCACAUGCAUCAUUAACAAGCUUCAUAUUUAGCAUGCAAUGGCAUUAACAAAAAAUCCACCUAGGCCAAAUAUCAUCCCCAUGACAUAGCAAAGAUUUGAACCAUGGGCUAAUUAGAACUCAAGCUAGCAACUAAAAACAUGCAUGAAUCUCAUGGCACAACCUCAAACUUACCUUGAUCUAGAUACAAGUAUGGCCAAACCUCCUCCUAAUCCUCUUCCAAACCAAACAUGAAGCAAGAACUCCUUCCUCCUUCCUUAGAAUUUCCGGCCAAAAGAAGAUGAAAAAAAGAUGAACAAAAUUUUUUCUUUUCUUUUCUUUUACUCACGGCAAUGGGGGGGGAAACAACCACACACCUUUUUUUUUUGUUUUCAUCAUAUUUCCUUUCAUUAUUUUAUGCCCAUGCUCCUUAUUUUAUUGUUUCCACCCAUGAUGCACCAACACAACAUGUCUAUGACAUGUCUUGCCCAUCACACUUGGUCUACCAUGCUUGUCAUGGCCGGCCACUACUAAUAGAGGGGGGAAAUUGACAUGCAAGUCCCCCCUUUUUUUUCAACAUGCACUAAUAGGUCCUUAUGCUUUGACCUAUCACAUUUCAAAAUUUUCUCACAUAAGUCCUAUUUACUAAAACUCACAUGCAAUCGACUAAAUCGAAGCUUGAAAUUUUCACACAUUCAUAAUUACAUAUUCUAGACCAUAAAUAUCACAUUUGAACUUUUCGGUGACUCGGUUUAGCGGUCCCGAAACCACUUCCCGACUAGGGUCAAUUUUGGGCUGUCACAACUCUCCCCCACUUAAGAAAUUUUCGUCCCCAAAAAUCUUACCGGUAAAUAAGUUUGGGUAUCGUUCUUUCAUCGAGCUCUCGGUUUCCCAAGUAGCUUCCUCGAUCCCAUGUUUGAGACAUAACACCUUUACUAGCGGAACCCUUUUGUUUCGCAACUCCUUCACUUCACGAGCUAGGAUACGCAUUGGUUCUUCUUCAUAACUCAUAUCGGCUUGAAUUUCAACCUCUGAUGGGCUAAUUAUGUGCGAUGGAUCAAAUCUAUAGCGUCGAAGCAUCGAAAUAUGAAAGACAUCGUGAAUCUUUUCAAGUUCAGGGGGCAAAAUCAAUCUAUACGCAACCGGACCAACUCGUUCGGAGAUUUCGUACGGCCCAAUGAAUCUCGGGCUCAACUUGCCCUUACGGCCAAAUCUGAGUACCUUUUUCCAAGGCGAAACUUUAAGAAACACUUUAUCUCCCACCUGAUAUUCAAUGUCUUUUCGUUUCAAAUCCGCAUACGAUUUUUGACGAUCUGUGGCUGCCUUCAGACUUUCACGGAUUACCUUUACUUUCUGUUCGGCAUCUUUAAUCAAAUCAACUCCAAAAAUUUUACUUUCACCGAGCUCGGUCUAAAACAAUGGUGUACGGCAUUUACGACCGUACAAAGCCUCGUAAGGUGCCAUCUUAAUACUUGUUUGAAAACUAUUGUUGUAAGCGAAUUCAAUCAAAGGUAAAAACCGUUCCCAUGAACUACUGAACUCGAGGAUGCAACAUCUCAACAUAUCCUCAAGUAUCUGAAUUAUCCGCUCGGAUUGACCAUCGGUUUGGGGGUGAAAAGCAGUGCUAAAAUGCAGCUUGGUACCCAAAGCUUCUUGCAAUUUCUUCCAAAAUCGUGAGGUGAAUCUCGGAUCUCUAUCCGACACGAUAGAAAUAGGUACCCCGUGUAAUCUCACAAUCUGAGAAACGUACAAUUCAGCUAGUUUAUCCAAUGAAAAAUCCGUACGCACGGGGAUAAAGUGAGCCGACUUAUUCAGUCUAUCGACAACAACCCAAAUCGCAUCUUUCUUACUUGCUGACAAUGGCAGUCCGGACACAAAGUCCAUUGUGACUCGAUCCCAUUUCCACUCAAGUAUCAUGAUCGGCUGAAGUAAUCCUGAAGGCACUUGAUGUUCCGCUUUCACUUGUUGACAUAUUAAACAUCUCGAAACAAAGUCGGAGAUGUCUCGUUUCAUACCAUGCCACCAAAACCAACGUUUCAAAUCGUUGUACAUUUUCGUACUCCCCGAGUGAAUUGACAUUCGACUACAAUGGGCUUCGUUCAGAAUCAUCGAAAUGAGUUCCGAAUUCCUUGGAACACACAAACGACUUCUGAACCUCAAACAAUCAUCAUCAUCAAUUUGAAACUCCGAUUCCUUGUUCGGAACACACUCAGCCCGUUUUGCAACCAAUUCAUCAUCAACUUUCUGGGCUUCACGAAUUUGAUGAAUCAAUAAUGGUUUGGCUUUUAAUUCAGCUACUAACACAUUGUCGGGUAGAACAGACAAGUGCACAUUCAUCGCUCGUAAAGCAAACAAUGAUUUCCGGCUUAAGGCGUCCGCAACCACAUUAGCCUUUCCCGGGUGGUAACCAAUGACAAGCUCGUAAUCUUUCAACAACUCAAGCCAACGUCUUUGUUGCAGAUUUAAGUCUCUUUGAGUCAUCAAAUAUUUGAGACUUUUGUGAUCCAAAAAUACAUGGCACUUUUCACCAAAUAAGUAAUGUCGCCAUAUUUUUAAAGCAAAUACGAUGGCAGCUAGUUCAAGAUCAUGGGUCGGAUAAUUUUUCUCAUGUGGCUUUAAUUGUCUCGACGCAUAGGCCACCACUCGACCUUCUUGCAUCAAUACGCAACCCAACCCAAGUAGGGAUGCGUCACUAUAAAUGACAAACUCUUUGCCUGAUUCGGGUUGCACUAAAAUUGGAGCUUCAGUCAAAUAAGUUUUCAGUUGAUCGAAACUUUUCUGACAUUUCUCCGUCCAUUCGAACUUAACAUCCUUUUGAAGUAGCUUCAUCAUUGGUGUGGCUAUCAUCGAGAAACCUUUGACAAAUCGUCGGUAAUAACUGGCGAGUCCCAAAAAGCUCCGAACCUCAGUAAUAUUUCUCGGAGGUUUCCAGUUAAGUAUGGCUGAAAUUUUGUUCGGGUCAACUCGAAUACCCGAUGCGGAUACCACAUGACCCAAGAAACUAACCUCUCUUAACCAGAACUCACACUUACUGAACUUAGCAUAUAACAGCUUAUCCCGCAAAAUUUGCAACACUAGUCUCAGGUGCUCAGCAUGUUCGGUCUCAUCUCUUGAAUAGACCAAGAUGUCAUCAAUGAACACAACUACGAAACGAUCCAAAUAUGGUCUGAAGAUCCGAUUCAUCAAAUCCAUAAAUACCGCAGGGGCAUUAGUGAGGCCAAACGGCAUCACUAAGAAUUCGUAGUGACCAUAUCUCGUUCUGAAGGCAGUUUUGGGUAUGUCCGAAUCUCGAAUUCGCAACUGAUAAUAGCCCGAUCUCAAAUCUAUUUUUGAGAACACUGAGGCUCCUUUUAGUUGAUCAAACAAAUCAUCAAUACGCGGUAACGGAUAUUUAUUCUUUAUCGUCACUUUAUUCAGCUGACGAUAGUCAAUGCACAACCUCAUGGUUCCGUCCUUCUUUUUCACGAACAAUACUGGUGCACCCCAAGGUGAGAAACUUGGUCGAGCGAAACCUCCAUCCGUCAAUUCUUGCAACUGAGCUUUCAACUCUUUUAACUCGGUUGGUGCCAUACGAUACGGAGCUAUCUAAAUCGGCGUAGUCCCAGGUACAAGCUCAAUACCAAACUCUAUCUCCCGAACAGGUGGUAAACCCGGUAAUUCUUCAGGAAAAACAUCCGGGUAUUCACAAACCACCGGCACAGAUUCGGGUUUCUUUUCUAAUUCUUUGUCAUCAAGUACAUACGCAAGGUAUGCUUCGCACCCUUUUCUUACAUAUUUCUGGGCCAACAUUGAGGAUAUUACAGCUGGCAACCCCUUUAAGUCCGUAGACUCAACUCGGAUUAUCUCGCCAUUUGCGCACCUCAAAUCAAUAGUCUUGCUUUUGCAAUUCACAACCGCAUCAUGCGCGGUCAACCAAUCCAAACCAAGAAUAACAUCAAAUUCAUCAAACGGCAAAAGCAUCAAGUCCGCCGAAAAACAGGAACCUCGAAUUACUAAGGGACAUUUCUUGCACACUUUGUCGACCAGCACGUAACGACCCAAGGGAUUUGGCACCCGAAUUACGAACUCAGUAGACUCAAUAGGUAAAGUCUUACUGGAUGCUAAGGUUUCACAUAUGUAAGAAUGAGUAGAACCGGGGUCAAUCAAAGCAAUUACAUUAGUAUCAAAGAGAGUAAAAGUACCGGUAAUAACAUCAGGCGAAGAAGCAUCCUCACGGGCACGUAUAGCAUAAGCUCUAGCAGGCGCACGAGCCUCGGAUCUGGUCGUAGCAUCUCUAGAUCCUCUCUGACCACCACUAGCAUUGCCCGUAUUUCCAGAUGGUCUACCUCGAGCAGUGGUAGCACCCGGUUUUCCACUCUGAUUUACAUUCUGUUCAGACAACCUCGGGCAAUCUUUAAUGAAGUGGUCAACUGAUCCGCACUUGUAACAGGAGCGGUCAGGGAAUCUACAACUCCCCGAAUGCCAUUUACCGUAAUAUCGACAUUUCGUUCUGUCUCGACGUUCAUUCCCAACACUAGCGACCGAAGUGCCUCUAGACCGGCCCACAUCAUCUCGAAAUUUCUUCGAUGCCUGUUGAAGAGACUUUCCCGAGGAUCUUUUACGAAACUCUCCAGUUCCCACAUCAACUUUUUGUUUUUCUUUUCUAAGCUCUUCGGCUUUACAAGCUCGCUCGACAAGUACUACGAACUCUCGUAUUUCAAGAAUGCCAACGAACAUUUUUAUAUCUUCAUUCAGCCCAUCCUCGAAGCAUUUACACAUGAUAGCCUCGGACGAAACACAUUCCCGAGCGUAUCUACUAAGUCUAACAAAUUUUCGCUCGUAAUCAGUUACUGACAUAGAACCUUGCUUAAGCUCAAGAAAUUCCUUCCGUUUUUGAUCAACAAAUCUCUGACUGAUAUACUUUUUCCGAAACUCAGUUUGGAAAAACUCCCAAGUUACUUGCUCUCGGGGCACAACAGAAGUCAGAGUACUCCACCAAUAAUAGGCAGAAUCGCGUAGCAAGGAGAUAGUACACUUUAGGCAUUCAUCGGGUGUACAAGAGAGCUCAUCGAGUACCCGGAUAGUGUUGUCCAACCAAAAUUCAGCUUGCUAGGCAUCGUCGCUAUCCGUAGCUUUAAAUUCAGUAGCCCCAUGUUUUCAGAUUCUGUCAACUGGGGGCUUAUUUGACCUUAUUUGGUCAGUUACCGGAGGUAUUGUAGGUGCGGGGGUGGUAUUUGUCGGGAAUGGAGGUUGUGGAACAGCCGUAUUAGUUCGAAUGUAUUGGUUGAACCAAUCAUUCAUCACGCUAUAGAAAGCUUGUCUAGCUUCAUCAUUCGGGUUACUAGCAUUAGGUUGAGAGUCCGCCGGCGCUGUCCCUUGUGCGGGAGCAGGCGCUACACUCUCAAGAUCAUCAGCUACCGCUCAGUCGGGAUCGGGAUCCAUUACUAUAAAUAAACACAUUUACAAUUGUCAGAAAUCACCACACUAUCAAAUAAUCACAUAAAAUGGCAUGUAUAGCUAGACCCAACGCAUUACGGUAGUCCUAGAAUCGACUAAACCGUAGCUCUGAUACCAAUCAAAUGUAACACCCCGAACCCGAAACCGUCACCGGAGUCGAACACGAGGUGUUAACAGACUUUAAACCACUUAUAAAAAAAUUUCCCAGACACUGCCAAUCUGCGUACUAGUCGCUUUAAAAAUCAUAUCUUGAGUUCAAAAACUCGGAAUCCAGUUCCGUAAAUUUUUCCUGAAACUAGACUCAUAUGCCCAUCUACAUUUUUUUUCUAGAAUUUUUUGUUAGGCCAAUUAGAACAUUUUAUUAUUCAAAGUAUACCAUGUUACAGGGAUCGACUACACUGACCUUUGCGCAUUACGACUUGGAUAUCUCCCUGUACAGGGCUUCAAUACUGAUUUCGUUUGUUUCUAUAGAAACUAGACUCAAAGAGGAAUCUAUAAAUAUAUGGAAUGACUCCUAAUUAUCUCUUGUUAAUUUAUAAUGAAUUUCCAAAGUCGAAACAGGGAAUCCAGAAACCGUUCUGGCCCUGUCUUACGAGAACCUGAAUAUCUCUUAACAUACUUCCCAUAUGAUCGUUUUGUUACUUUCCUAUGAAAAUAGAUUCAUCAAGGUUCGUUUACAUAAUUUAUUCACUAUUUCAUUCCAUUCCUACUAUUUUUAGUGAUUUUCCAAAUCUACAUCACUGCUGCUGUCAGCAUCUGCCUUUAAGGUAGACUUUACCUAUUUCAUAGUUUCCAUGAUUCAACUAGCCCUUUUAGCAUAAAUAGCACAAAUUAUGAUAGUGAUUAACCAUUCCCAUGGCCAAUCCUUGUUAAGCACAGCCACACCAAAUGAUGAUAACAUUAUGCUCAAACAUAUAUAAGCCAUUUUCGCAUGGCUAUCCAAAAUUAUACAAGUCCAAAGGGUCCAUGACCCACAACAAACGGGUAGUCCUAUACAUGCCAUUUUGAAGUUCAACCAAAUUUGUACCAAAAGGGGGGCUUUGAUAGUGUGGACGACUUCGACUUCAAAAUCCCGAGUCCGAUAGCUAGAGAACCAAAAUCUAUAAAACAGAGAAUCAAGGAGACGGAGUAAGCAAUUUAUGCUUAGUAAGUUUUGAGCAAGGGAUUCCAGCACAACAAAAGUAUAGCAUUCAUGUAGCUAAACGGAUAAUUUCAUAUGCACAAUUUUUCAAUAUCAUACUUACUUCAUAUUACCAACCCUUUUAUUCAUACACAAAGAUCAACUUAGCCAAAGGCCGGUAGCUCAUUUAUCAACUGAGCGAAUACUUAUUUGUAAGGGCUCAACUAAUUCAAAGCACAUACGAAACAUACCUCAAUGUUGGGAUGUUUCAAGCGUAUUAACUGAAAUUUUUACAGCAAGAUCAUUCAUUCCCAAAUCACGUACCUUCGGAAUUUAACCGGAUAUAGCUACUCGUUCAAAUGCCUUCGGGACAUAGCCCGGUUAUAGUAACUCGCACAAAUGCCUUCGGGACUUAACCCGGAUUUAAUAACUCGCACAAAUGCCUUCGGGCUUAGCCCGGAAUUAGUAUCUCGCACAAAUGCCUUCGGAUCUUAGUCUGGAUUUAGUAUCUCGCACAAAUGCCUUCGGAUCUUAGUCCGGAUAUGGUCACUUAGCACAAAGCCUUCGGGACUUAGCCCGGGCAUCAUUCAAAUAACCAUGCACAUUUAACAAUAAAUCAUGGCACAUUCGUAUUUCAUUUUCGUUAGCAAAACUCAAACACAAGACUCUUAUCAUUCUUGCAAUUUCGGCUCAAUAGCCACACACAAAGAGCAAUAUUUUAAUUUACUUAAAACAUGAUCUAAUCAAAUCAUAAUUUAAGCUCUUUUACUCAAGAACUUACCUCGGAUGUUGUCGAACGAUUCCGAUAGCUAUUCGACCACUUUUUCCUUCCCUUUAUUGGAUUUAGUUCCCCUUUGCUCUUGAGCUUAAUUAAACAAAUAAAUUGAUUUAAUCAUUUGAGCAUCGAAAAGAGGAACACAAGGCACUUAGCCCAUAUUUAUACAUUAGACAUUAAAGUCACAUAUGUACGGAAAUCAUGAAUCAAACUCAACAUUUUAGCUAAUUUUCCCCCUUGGCCGAAUUUUCUAAGCCAAGACAAAAGCAUCAAUAUGCUUGCCUCUAACCGAAUACAUGCAACACCAAUCUCCUUCCUAUGGCCGAAUAUGCAUGUCUAUGUUGGGGCCGAUUGCAACACUUAAUACAUUCUACAAGCAUGGUCACUUGUAUUGACUAAACACCAUUUUGUUUCAAGUUCAAAACUUGGCUAAUACACACAUAUAUACACUAGUAAAGCAUCCUCUCCCUUUCCAUCAAUUUAACACAUGCAUUACUCAUUAAUAUACAAAAAUUAUAUUCGGCCUUAGCACACAACUUGCUAGCCGAUUCUUCUCCAUCUAGCAACCAAUGCACAUAUGUGCUCACUCAAAAAUGCUAAAAAGAAGAUUCAAGAAUCAUCAAUCCACCAUCACAUGCAUCAUUAACAAGCUUCAUAUUUAGCAUGCAAUGGCAUUAACACAAAAUCCACCUAGGCCAAAUAUCAUCCCCAUGACAUAGCAAAGAUUUGAACCAUGGGCUAAUUAGAACUCAAGCUAGCAACUAAAAACAUGCAUGAAUCUCAUGGCACAACCUCAAACUUACCUUGAUCUAGAUACAAGUAUGGCCAAACCUCCUCCUAAUCCUCUUCCAAACCAAACAUGAAGCAAGAACUCCUUCCUCAUUCCUUAGAAUUUUCGGCCAAAAGAAGAUGAAAAAAAGAUGAACAAAAUUUUUUCUUUUAUUUUCUUUUACUCACGGCAAUGGGGGGAAACAACCACACACCUUUUUUUUUGUUUUCAUCAUAUUUCCUUUCAUUAUUUUAUGCCCAUGCUCCUUAUUUUAUUGUUUCCACCCAUGAUGCACCAACACAACAUGUCUAUGUCAUGUCUUGCCCAUCACACUUGGUCUACCAUGCUUGUCAUGGCCGACCACUACUAAUAGAGGGGGGAAAUUGACAUGCAAGUCCCCCCUUUUUUUUCAACAUGCACUAAUAGGUCCUUAUGCUUUGACCUAUCACAUUUCAAAAUUUUCUCACAUAAGUCCUAUUUACUAAAACUCACAUGCAAUCGACUAAAUCGAAGCUUGAAAUUUUCACACAUUCAUAAUUACAUAUUCUAGACCAUAAAUAUCACAUUCGAACUUUUCGGUGACUCGAUUUAGCGGUCCCGAAACCACUUCCCGACUAGGGUCAAUUUUGGGCUGUCACAUAUAUGCUUCUUCUAUUAAUAAAGAGACAGCACAUCUCAGAUAAUCAUCCAGAGAACAAGCCAUUUGUUUAAAAACUCUUACCAAACUUUGUAGCCAAUACUCAACUUUUACAGGGUCAUUAUCUGAUCUACCUCAAAAUUCUUCAGCUCCAAACUUCCUAAGCUUUCCAAUCAGAGAACGCUUACUAGAUUCAGUUUUCGAAGGAGGUGGAGGAGCAACCGGGGGUGCCACAAGUGGUGCAGUAGGGGGAGGAGGUUGUUGAGUUUGAGUUCUUCCUUGCAUUAGAUCAGUAAACCACUAAUUCAUCACUCCGUAUAUCAUAUUUUUAAGAUCUUGUUCUUGAACUAGAUAGAUUGAAACAUUACUGCUUGUUCCUUGUUUAGAGGUCUGUACUAUACUGUUAGCAUCUUCCUGUUCAGCAUGUUCAAGUCUAUCUGACAUCUUUAUAAUCUAUAAAAAUAACAAGAAUCAGAUCAGAUUAUACACAUCACACUAUCACAAAUUUAUAUGGCAUGUAUUUCCGAACAAUUUACUCAUUACAUUCAUUUCGAGAAUUGGCUAAACCGAAGCUCUGAUACCAAAAAAUGUAACACCCCUUACCCGAGACCGUUGCCGGAGUCGAGCACGAGGCAUUACCUGAUUUAACUUACUAGUUCAGAGUAUAAAAAUUUACUUUUAAAAUUAAUUCACUCACGUUUAUUCAAUAUGUCUCUAAAAACGAAUAUCAAAACCCUAAAUCAUGCAAUAAAAACGGUUCAGGUCCAAACCGAGAAUAUUAAAAUUUUUUCGAAUACUUAAUCAAAUUAAAACAAUUCAUUUGCCUCUUCACAAUAAACCUGUCCACCUGCGCAAUAGUCACUAAUUUAAUUAUAACUCGAGUUACGAAACUCAAAAUUUAGAUCCGUAAAUUUUUCCUAAAACUAGACUUAUAUAUUUUCUUACCAUAAAAUUUUCAGAAUUUUUUGCUUUAGCCAAUUAGUAUAGUUUAUUCAUUAAAUUUUUCCCUAUUUUACUAUUCAACAGCUCUGACCCCUCUUCACUAAAAAUUAAUUAUCUCAAUGUACAAAAUUCGAAUAACAUUCUCGUUUGUUUCUAUUGAAAAUAGACUCACUAAAAAAAAUCUAAACAUAUAAAUUAUAAAUCCAAAUCCUUUUUUUACAAUUUUUAAUGAUUUUCUAAAUUCAGAACAGGGGAUUUCAAAAACUAUUUUGAUCAUGUCUCUCUAAAAUUCAAAUAUCUAAAAAUAUAAAACUCUUUUGCUUACUCUAUUUCUUUCAUAUGAAAAUAGACUCAUGUAGCUUUAAUUCUAUAUCGUAUUCACUCUCUAAUUCAAUUUCCACUAUUUUUGGUGAUUUUUCAAAAUCACAUCAAUACUGCUGUUCAAAAACUGUUCCAUUGCAAAUUUUUACUCUUUUAUAAUUUCUUGCUUACACAACACAAAUCGCGUUCUUAUGUAACCAAUUCAAUAGUUAAUUCAUUAUCAAAAAUUUACUUGCUACUCCUUAGCCAUAUCAUAAGAAUACACACAAAACGACCAAGUCCUAAUACAUGCCAUAUAAAUCAAAAAGUUGUUUAAGAAAAUCUACCGGAUUAAAUCUAGAUAGUGUGAUCGUUGAUGUAGAUCCGAUCCUCCGAACAUAUAUACAUCAAUUUACAAGAAACAAUAAACACACACAAGUACGCUUGCAGAAAGCUUAGUAAGUUCAUAGGCUCAUAAUAAAAUCUUACCAAAAUUUCACUAACAAUAUUAAUAAACAAAUAAAAAUUCAACAUUUCCUGCCAACUACAAUCUCAAACAAUGAAUUUACUCAAUCAAACUCAAUAUCAGAUGUCAACUUAUAUUCCAACAUUUAGCUUCAAUUACAUUUUUAAAUACUUUUCAAAUUAAGGAUCGUCUUACGGAUUUAAGUAUAUCGUUUGCCUAGUGCCACGAUUUGCUUGAAUCUUUUUCAAUAUUAUAACUCAGUAUGGUUUCCUUCACUGAAAUAUCAUACCUACUUUUCACAACUAAAUAUGGUUUUUCUCAUUGAAACACCAUACCUACUUUUCACAACUCAAUAUGAUUUUCUUCACUGAAACACCAUACCUACUUUUCACAAUUUGCCAUGAAUUCAACAUGGACUUAUUCGUCAAGUCAUCACUGAUUUCGGAACGCAUGUACUCAAUCCUUCGUAUCCCUUAAUUUGAACUAAUAAUCUCAUUUUUUUUCAUUUUUACAAUAAUCAUAACAAUAUACAGAUUGAUACAAUGUCAUUCCCACAUUAACAAUUAAUUAUAAAAGUCCAGCCGUAUGAACUUAUCUGGGCCAAUUUGUAGGAGUUAUAAAAGUUGAGACUAAUUUGAUACUUUCUCUUUUCCGCAUUUAUCUUCGGAUUCCCAAUAUGGUAUAAAAAUAUGAGAAACCAGCUUGUUUCAGACCUCCUAUGGCGUUUUUACUGAUAAAUUAUGAAAUCUCUAGAUUUUUCACUAUUGUCUUUGUUUUAUAUAUUUAAUUUGUAAAGUUUUCAAUUUUGCCCUUGUUUCUCCUUACUUUCUUGCUGAUUUUUCUUGCCCAACCGUCCAGCCCAUAUAAUUUGGGCCUAAUUGCCUUUUAAAUCCCUCCUUAUUAUUCAUUUAAGCUAUUUAAUCACAAUUUAACAAAUUUUGGACUAUUUUCAAUUUAAUCCUUUUUAAUUAAUUGACUAUCCAAACGCUAAAUUUUUCUAACGAAACUUUUAUACUAACUCGAUAACACUCCAUAAAUAUUUAUAAAAAUAUUUAUGACUCGGCUUAUGAAUUUGAGGUCUCGAUACCUCGUUUUAGACCAAUUUACCUAUUAAAUUCUUUUUAAAUCACAAAAUUCACUAAUUCAAAAUUUUUUCUAAAUUCACACUUGACCCAUAAUUAUUAAUUUAUUAAAUUUUAAAACUCACAGGUCAGAUUUAGUAAUCUCGAACCCCUAUUUUUGACACCACUAAAAAUUAAGCUGUUACACUUGAAGACUUGUUCAAGUCGCAUUCAAACCCCUCUAUAAUUGGUGGCUUUAUAAAUUUACCCCAAGCCUAAAUUAGCAAAGUUGAAACUAUCAACCUUGCCACAUGUAUGGCCGGCCAAGGGAGGGCUCUUUGGUUGAUAAUUUUAACUCUUUUUAGCAGCCCUUUUUAGCUAUAAAAACCUCAUUAGGUUGGUCAUUUGAAAAACACACCUCAAGCAUUCACAUCUUUCCUUUCUUCUCUCCACUUUCUCUCUGCUUUUUCAUUCCAAAAUUCCCUUGCUCUCUUGGCGAUUUCUCCUAUUGAGAAAGGGGCAUUUAUUAGCUAUUUGGAGCAACAAUUAAGUGUUCAUAGAAGCCUUGGUCGACAAGGAUAACGGAGAAAGACAGAGCAACUAGUUAAGCCACAGAAAAACACUGAAUUUGAUUCUUUUUCCCUAUCUCUUUAAUUUCUGUUGUUGUUAUGCUAAGCAUAUCUAUAAAUAUUUAUGUUGUUGAAAUGGUUAAUUUAAUCAAUUUAGCUUGAAUUUAAUUCAUGUUAGGUUGAUUGCAUUUUGUUUGUUAAAAUUAUUGAAAUUGUGUUUAUGUUGUUAUAGGCCUCUAUAAGAUGCUUGAUUAAGUAAAAUCAUGACUAAGUUAUUCUUGCAUUACAAUUGUUAGGUAACUAAUGAAUUAAUUAUUUAAACGGAUUGAAAUUGUAAUUAAUGGACACAGUACUUAAUCAGUGCAUGUUUAAUCAUCUAAGGUAGCUGAGAGUUAGAUUAGCAACGGUAUCUGACGAUACAUUUGCCUUGCAUAACUUGCAAGAUUAUUGUGAUUAAACUUUUUCAAGGUAAGGAUACUUUGUUACCUCAUAUAGUCUUUUAUGUGCUUAUUAAAUCGAGUUAUUUUUUUGAAUUGACAUAGGUAUAUGUACAAGAGAUUAUUUUGAUUUAAUAAGUACGUAUGUGCAACAAUAUAUUUUCCUAUUAAGAUUUGUUUAAUCGGUUGAAUUGACAUAAGGAUAUAGUCAAAAGAUAAAUGGAUUUUGGUACGUGAGUAUGUUCAUAAGUUAGCAAAUUACUGAGUUGCCGUGAACUUAUUUGUAACAAUAUAAACAUGAGUUUAAUAAAUCCUAAGUUAAGAAAUGUAAUUAAUCUAACACAAUUAUGUUAUCUUGAUUAAAAUCGUAGUUUGAAAUCGUGCAUUUGAGAUUUAUUUAUUUAGUUCACUUAGUUUAAAAUCUUAGUUUUUAGUCACCCUCUUCAAAUAAAAUAUUUUUCUUUACCAAAGUGUUUUAAAUAGUAUUCAUAAAUAAUUCUUUUCACAGUCCCUGUGGGUACGAUAACUCGACAUUUAUUUGUCACUUUAUUACUUGUUGCGAUUGUGUACACUUGCACAUUUCCGUCGUUCCAGGAUGCUUUCUAACUACUAGUGUGGUCCAUUUCCCAGCCAUGAGAAAUACAAUGGAAAACAUCUGGAACCCUUUGAAGGGUGUGCAAAUCUCGAAUUUGGGUGAAAAACGUUUUCUAUUAAAAUUCUUUAACGAAUUGGAUAUUAAUCGGGUAAUUACAGGUGCUCCUUGGACUUUCAAUAAUCACUUGUUGAUUAUCCAUAAGAUUCAAAAGAAUGAAGAUCUGAUGUCUAUUCCAUUAGUGUACUCAGGCUGGUGGGUUCAGAUUCAUGAUUUGCCAUUGGGGUUUUUUUAGAGAUUCCAUGGCGGCACAAUUUGGAAAUUUCAUUGGAAAAUAUCUGGAAUAUGAUAUGAAAUAGUUAUCCAACAGCUACAAAAAUUAUCUACGCAUCGGAGUCCAGAUUAAUGUCCGAAAGCCUCUGAAAAGAAGAAAGAAAACUAUGAUCUCCAACUCAAAUUUUACUUAUGCAAAGUUCAAAUAUGAAAAAUUAACUUUGUUUUGUUUCUUAUGUAGCUGCCUAGGCCAUGGAGAGAAUUUCUGCCCAAUGAGAUUAAAACAUGAGAUGCAGGAAAUGGAAAUGGGUUGGGACUUGUCAUUGCAGGCUCAGCCACAGAAGGCUACUACAGUAAACAACAUUUAGCUAAGGGAGGAGGGAGAGGAUGAUUUUUUUAGGAAGACACAUUUUGGGCAGUAAUUUGGCCAAAACUUAAGGCACAAUCAGGGGAGAGAAUCGUGGGCUAAUGUUAAUCCAAUUCUUGGAAUUAAUUUAGAAGGCACCAAAUUAUAGAUGAUUUGAUUGGUCAACAAAAAGGGUAGGAAUCAUGCCACAAUGUUGGGAAAGAUUGGGUGGUAAGCAAAAGCCAACAGAUAGGGUUUAAUUCGAAUGGUGAUAAAUUAAGGAAAGAUCCGAUUGUGGUAGGCCCUUCUAAUAGGUUGAUUUGAUGAUUAUGGAUUGUGACUUAGAAGAUGAUCCAAUUGUUAAUAAGGAAAAAGAGACAGGUUUGAUUAUUUGAUCUCUAAUGUUUCUACUAUUCAAGAUUCAUUAGAGAUUAUUCAUAGGCAUUCUGCUCUUUCUCAACAAAUGUCGAUGGCUGCUAGUGGGUAAGCCGACCGAAAGAAAUGAAAAUAUUUUACUAGAAUGUUCGUGGAUUUGGGAGUCUGCGAGUAGUUAGAAGACUUCAGCAUAUGUUGAAAAUUUAUCAUCCCCAAUUUGUCUUAUUUAUGGAGACAAUUGAAUACAAACAAAAUGGAGAACAUUAGGAGACUAUGUGGUUUCUUUAACGGUGUUGACGCUCCUGUUGAUGGUACAUGUGGGGAUUUAAGCAUAGGAUGGAAUGGGGGACAUUUAGUUACUCUUACAAGCCUCUCAAAAAAUCAUAUUGAUGUUAAAAUUCAAGAAGCAGAGGAAAGUCCACGAUGAAGGUUUACAGGUUUUUAAGGGGCACCGGAUGUAAGGGAUUAAUCAGCGACGUAGGACUUACUUUGACAUUUGGGGAGAAAUAAUACACUACCAUGGUUGGUUAGUGGUGACUUCAAUGAUAUUCUCUUUGCGCAUGAAAAACAAGGAGGGUUGUUAAGGGAGGAGGCUAGAAUGGAGGUAUUUUGUAGAACUUUGGAUGAAUGUCAAUUGGGAGACAUUGGAUUUUCUAGGACGUGGUUUACAUGAGAGAGAGGACGCAUAAUGGAAAAAAAAUUAGAGAAAGAAUCGAUAAAGGGGUUACUACUGAUACAUGGUUACUACUUUUCCCAGCUUACUCAUUGAGGUAUCUACCUCAUUCUUUCUUAGAUCAUUGUCCUUUGCUUAUUAAUACGGAGGCUGAAGAAAUGGGUAAAAAAACUGGAAGGUUUCAUUUUGAAGGUUGGUGGGUUUUAAAAGAGUCAUGUGAGGAAGAGAUAAGAAUAUUGUGGGAAGAAAGCUCAGGUUCUUUUUAAAAUCGCAUUUCAGCUCUCACUAUUGGUUUGCAAAAUUGGGUAGGUAAAAUUAAGCACAAAAGAGGAUGAAAUGUGAAAUGAUUAACAAGGACUUGAAGAGUUGAAUAGUUAUGAUAGAUUGGAAGAGACUUUGGUUGAGCUUGUUGAUGUCAAACUACAUCUGAAUAUGGAGAUGGAUAAAGAGGAGAGGUAUUGGAAACAACGAGCGAGAGUGGAUUGGCUAAAAAAGGGAGUUAAUAACACCUCAUUUUUCCACAAUUAUGCUUCUCAGUGACAACGUAUUUAUCAUAUUCGAGGAUUACAAAAGAAUGAUGGUUCUCUAGCUAUGGGUCGUAUUGAGAUUGGGAAUAUUGCUCGUGACUAUUUUACUGACUUGUUUGCUUCUAGAGGGUUGGCAAUUUGGAUCAUAUCCUAUCGAGGGUACCUUAUUGUGUUUCAGAAAGUAUGAAUCAAAGUUUGAUGGCUACAUACACAGAGGGAAAAAUUGUUAAGGCAUUAAAAGGAAUGGGUCCUAUAAAAGCUUCAGUUUUAGAUGGAUUUUUGGCAUUAUUUUAUCAAAAGUAUCGGCAUAUUAUUGGUAAAGAUACUAGUGCUUUCUGUUUGGAUAUUUUGAAUAAUGGAAAAUCUUUGGAAGAACUAAACAAAACUCACUUAGUUUUAAUUCCAAAAAUUGCAAAUCCUCUUAAUCUGAAAAGCUUUCUUCCUAUUAGUCUUUGCACGAUUAUCUGUAAGAUUAUUGCCAAGACAAUUGCCAAUUUAAUACAAAAAGUUAUGAAUGUUUUAUUGAUGAUUCUUAGAGCGUUUUUGUACCGGGUAGACUCAUAAUUGACGUGUUACUGGCAUAUGAGGUGCUUCAUUCUUUCAAGAAUAAAAUAUUAGGGCGAAAAGGCUUCAUGGCUCUAUGAGGAAGGAUUAUGAUCACGUUGAAGGCCUUUCCUUAAAAGUAUGAUGUCAAAAAUCGAUUUUGCUUGUCCUUUUAUUGAUUUUAUUCUCCAUUGUAUUAGUACAGUUCGAUAUUCAAUUUUACUAAAUGGAGAAUGAGUAAGUUUGAAACCAUUUAGAGGACUUCGACAAGGAGACCCCUUAAGCCCUUACUUAUUUCUGUUCUGUGGAGAAGGGUUAUCUUCACUAAUGAGAUUAGAUUAGCAAGUCAGGAGAGAAAAAACUUAGGAGAAAAUGUUUGUAAAUCUGCUCCACGCAAAUGAUUGUAUACUGUUUGGUGAGGUUUUGGAAAGGAGGAUUAAUGUGCUUAAAAAUAUUUUAAGUGAAUAUGAAUCUUGCUCAGGACAAUAUGUGAAAUUUGACAAAUCCACAACUUUUUUCAAUACAAAUGUGAGUGAUCAAGGUAAGAACUUGGCUUUCUAGGUACUCAAUGUUCGUUAUUCGAAAGAUCUAGAAAAAUACUUAGGAUUACCGAAUAUGGUGGGUCGAAGAAGGAAAAUGGCACUCCAAGGUUUGAAAGACAAAUUGAAGCAAAAGAUAAAUAGCUAGAGUCUAAGACAAGGUGGAAAAGAGGUAUUUAUCAAAACUAUUUUGCAAACAAUACCUACAUACAAGAUGUUUUGCUUUCUUUUGCAAAAAUAUUUUUGUAUGGAAAUGGAGAACAUAAUAGAGUCUUUCUAAUGGAAAAAAAAGUCACGGGAAAAGAGCAUGCACUGGUGUGAUUAGAUGUCUUUGUGUGCGCUUAAGGAAGAGGGUGGUAUGUGAUUUCGUAAUUUGUCUUUUUUAACGUUGUAUUAUUGGCCAAACAUGGUUAUCAUUUGUUACGUAAUCCUAAUUCUUUACUAGCACGAACUUUGAAAGCCAAAUAUUUUAAAGACUGAUUUUUUAAAUUCCAAGUUAGGAAAUUUACCUUUUUUUCCCUGGCAGAGAUUAUGGACUCCAAAAGGGCUCCUUCUGAAGGGUUUGGGUUGGAGAAUUAGUGAUGGGAGGAAGGUCUCUAUCUGGGAAGAUGCUUAGGCUCCUGGAAAUGAUGAUUUCAAAGUUCAGUACAUGGAUUCUAAUUUGAGUCUAAGUACAAUUGCAGACUUGAUUGAUGCCAAUACAAGAAAAUGGAAAGUUGAUCUGAUUCGUAAUACCUUUAUGGAGAAGGAUGCAGAGAGGAUUUUAUGCAUUCCUUUGUCCAUGAAUCUGCAUGAAGACCAUAUCAUCUGGCGUGUGUGAGCCGACGGAGGAGUAUUUGGUUCGUAGUGGGCGUAAAUUUCUUUUACAAGAUGGACAGAACCAAGGACAAUUAAAUUACAGACAAUUUUACAAGAAAUUGUGGAAUUUAGAUCUACCCCAAAAAAUUAAAAUUACAAACUGGAGGUUUUCCUGUAACUAUUUGCCUACUUUUAGUAAUCUACACUUUAAAAGAAUGAUGGGUUCUGCCACUUGCCAAAGAUGUCAAACUGGAGUAGAAGCGAGGGAACACUUGUUUCGGGAGUGUUCUACAACAAAGGAGACAUAGGAGAAGUUAAGUGUUAGUUGGCCUAUUGCAGAUGCAAAUACUGAAUUCAAAGAAUGGAUGAAAAACAUUUUUGAUUCAAAUUCCAUGGCUAAGUGCAGGUUGAUAGCAUGUGCAAUGUGGGCGAUAUGGACAUCAAGAAACAGAUUUAUUCAUGAAGGAGAGUAGAAAUCAGGUUUUCAAAUAACAGAUUUUAUGAUCAACUACCUUAAGGAACUUGAUGGGUUUAAUACACACUUACCAAGGAGAAGGAUACACACGGACAAAUGGGUAGCUCCAAACGGUUUGAUGGUAAAAAUCAACUUUGAUACUACGUUUAACAAGCAAAGGAAUGAGCCUUGCUCCGGGUUAGUGGUUCGAAACGAAAGAGCAGGAGUUAUUUGUUCAAAAAAGUCAUGCACAAGAACAUAUAGUCUAUUUUUGCAGCAGAAGCAAUGGCGUGUCUCCAGGCAAUCAAUCUAGGGUUAAAUCUCAGAUUAAAGGCGAUUAAAAUUGAAGGAGAUUCUCGUUCGGUGAUUCGUAAACUGCAAGCAAAGGAAGAAGACAGAUCUGAGAUUGAAGUUUAUAUUAAAGACUCUAAGCAACUAAAUUUAGGCUUUGGAUAUUGUGUCUUUCGAUUUACCCAUAAAGAAUCUAACAAGGUUUCCCAUAUCCUAGCUACAGAGGGAAUCAAAAAAAGGGAGACAACUUAUCAGAUGAAUAUGGUUCCUUCUGUUGCGGAGGAAGCGGUGGAUGCCGAUCGAAGAUGGACGAGGUCCAUGAAGGAAUGAAGAGGCAAGAGUGUUCAAAGAGAGACUGAAUAUGGUCUUGAAUAGACAGAUGGAUAGAUGAAUACAGAUAUACAUUGAAGAGAGUUAUUGUUUCUGAUGAAAGAGUAAUGGAGCAUAAUUGUGAAGAUAUUUUUGCGGUUUCCCAAGACUUUUUGUUACUUUUCAGGAGAGGGGUUGAUUAAUGGAGAACACCUGGGGUAGGAUAUAUCUCUAAAGCUUCCCUGUUUGGCAAACUGGAUCUAAGUUUUUG
rnacentral:lncRNA from 1 species